UUAUCCCUUCAGACACAUCUGAUAAAAUUGGAACGAUAAAUAGAAAAUUAGCAUGGGCCUUGCACAAACUGACACACAAAUCAAGAAAUGGUCCACUUUUUU